rnacentral:tRNA from 1 species
ACCUGAGUGGCUCAGUGGUUGAGUGUCUGCCUUUGGCUCAGGUCAUGAUCCCAGGGUCCUGGGAUCGAAUCCCGCCUCAGGCU